rnacentral:lncRNA from 1 species
UAAGAGCCUCCCAGGUCUGACAUUCCCUGUUCUGAGGCCCCUCCUACUCUGACAUUCCCUGUUCUAAGGCCCCUCCCAGCCCUGACAUUCCCUGUUCUGAGGCCCCUCCCACUCUGACAUUCCCUGUUCUAAGGCCCCUCCCAGCUCUGACAUUCUCUGUUCUAAGAGCCCUGGCAGCUCCUAUAUUCCAUGUUCUAACCUCUCAGGUCCGAUGUGCUAUGAAUCCAUGAAUCUGUGCUCCAUUUCAUCCCGAUCUCUCCAGAACCCUAAGGACCAGGGAAUUUGGGGCUGUGCUAAGAACCAGACCUGGGUUCUCAGAUAGGAGGCACACAGUACAGCUCUGCGCUCCCACGGCUCCCUGACUCACCUUCUGAUCGCCGUCCCUGGCCCUCCGAUCCACCUCCCUAGUGGCCAGCGAGAUAGGCCUGAAGCACAGCUCCGCCCACACGCUCUGGCCUGAUCCAGGAAACAGGGUCAGCGACCACCUUCGGAAGCCCCUCUGCCCUGCGCUGCGGCUCACCUUCACCUCCGUCUACUGGACAGCUCCUAACGAGUCCUUCCCUCCCCCCACCUUCCCCGAAGCUCAGGCCUGACUGUGGCGCUGCUGUGCCCCAUGACACCCUGCAGCUUCCUACUCCUUCUAGUUUCUGGAGCACAACAGACGUUAAUAAA